rnacentral:lncRNA from 1 species
AGGACAGCACAUUGACAAACAACACUUUUAGGAAAUGCCACAUAGCACCCAAAAUGAUUCAACACAUUAUGUCGGGUUGCAAGCUGCUUGCACAAACAGAUUACCUGCACAGACACAACCACAUAGCAAGCAUAAUACAUCAAAAGCUUGGAACCAAACACAAAUUAAUAAACACAUUCUCACCAUAUUACAAAUAUAUACCAGACACCAUCUUAGAAAACUCAAUACACAAGAUGUACUGUAACAGAACAAUCCUAACAGACAAAACUAUACAUCCCAACAGACCAGACAUCACUCUCAGAGACAAGCAAAACAAAGUUA